UGACCUGCGGAGGAUCAUUAUCGAACUUCGAGGGCGAGGCGGACUGUCGCUGGCUUCGGUCGUGCACGUCCACCUUUCUCUUACUCUCACACCUGUGCACACAUUGUAGGUCCUCGAAAGAGGAUCUAUGUUUCAAUCGUCACACACAUCGUAUGUCUAGAAUGUAUUACGAUCGUCGUUCGACCUCGCGGUCGUGGGGCGGUCUAAAACAAAUACAACUUUCAGCAACGGAUCUCUUGGCUCUCGCAUCGAUGAAGAACGCAGCGAAUUGCGAUAAGUAAUGUGAAUUGCAGAUUUUCAGUGAAUCAUCGAAUCUUUGAACGCACCUUGCGCUCCUUGGUAUUCCGAGGAGCAUGCCUGUUUGAGUGUCAUGUAAUUCUCAACCAUGUCUUGAUUGAUUUCGGGGCAUGGCUUGGAAGUGGGGGUUGCUGGCGGCGAAGGCUGUCGGCUCUCCUGAAAUGCAUUAGCGACGGACAGCAAGUCUGACGUGCACGGCCUCGACGUGAUAAUGAUCAUCGUGGCUGGGAGCGUCGGACGAGCGCGAUACGUCCCUUUGCUUCCAAUCCUUUGACUUGGGAAUAGGACUUUCGAGCGAAGCUUUAGUUACUAGUCGGUCGUGAGACCGACGAACGCAGGGCGGGAUCGAAGGUCGGAAGGCCCUCGUCUUUCUUGAUGACUUGACCUCAAAUCAGGUA
rnacentral:rRNA from 1 species